rnacentral:rRNA from 1 species
AUGGUAAACAAAAAGCUGGGUCGUUGAACAAAAAAAAAAAAGAAAUAACCUUCCUUGCAAACAAGCGGCGACCGGGUGAGGAUGGUUGAUUAAUGCCCAUGUAGUUGGCGGGAAGGGGGGAAAAACCGUUGCAAACGAUGGCUAAUACCGCCGGCAGCCUGGGGGGCCCAGAGGGGCCCCUUUUUGGCCCCUACGUCAAGAUAUGCCUAGGUGAGGGGUCUCUCAGGCAAGGGAAGGUCCCAACAACGUACCAUCCCUAUUGGUCUGACAUGAUGUUCACCCACCCUCCAACUGACACCCGGACCAAACUCCGGGGAAAGGUAUCUAUGGGGAAUAUUGCACCAUGGGCGCCAGCCUGGUGCGUGCAUGACGCCUGUAUGAAGAAGGGCUUCUGGUUGAAAUGAACUUUCAGGCCGGAAGAAGGUUGGUUGUUUAUUGCUUCCUUACUUAACAUUUACCACCGCUCCUCGCCCCCUCAUCCCCUGGCAGGCGGAGGGAUAAUUCCGUCGGUCCUAACUACUGUUCGUAUUGCCUGGCCGUGAGCGUUUGCAAAUUGAUUUGUAAAACCCAAGGGCUACCCGGGGCUCUCUCUCUUAAUAACUUUUUAAAAAGACUGAAAUGGAUGUUUGAUAGAGGGGGGUAAAAUUUCCGGUGUAAAGGCGUAAAAGCCCAUAGAGAUGACGAAUUCCCCCGGCCGGACCCCCGGCUCCCCGUCCAAAAACUUAUGGUCCGAAAGCCAAAAGAGGUGUGGGAGAAAUUGGACACAUAGCCUGGUCGUCCCCCCCGCUGAAGUUUGUCAUCUUGGAGGGUGUGGCCCUCAUCCGUUGGUCUUACUACAGACUCGACAGAACACCACCGGGGGAAUAAGUUCCCCAGGAUCAAAAUCAACUGAAUUUGACGGGGGCCCGCCAAUCACGGAAAAAGUUGUCUACUUCUAUGUCCCGCGACUA